GACGAACGCUGGCGGCGUGCUUAACACAUGCAAGUCGAACGGAAAGGCCCCUUUGGGGGUACUCGAGUGGCGAACGGGUGAGUAACACGUGAGUAACCUGCCCUUGACUUCGGGAUAACUUCAGGAAACUGGGGCUAAUACCGGAUAGGAAUCCUUGCUGCAUGGUGGGGGUUGGAAAGCUUCGGCGGGUUUGGAUGGACUCGCGGCUUAUCAGCUUGUUGGUGGGGUAGUGGCUUACCAAGGCUUUGGCGGGUAGCCGGCCUGAGAGGGCGACCGGCCACAUUGGGGCUGGGAUACGGCCCAGACUCCUACGGGGGGCAGCAGUGGGGAAUUUUGCCCCAUGGGCGGGAGCCUGAUGCAGCAACGCCGCGUGCGGGAUGACGGCCUUCGGGUUGUAAACCGCUUUCAGCAGGGGCGGAGCUUGUGGUGACGGUACCUGCAGAAGAAGCACCGGCUAACUACGUG
rnacentral:rRNA from 1 species